rnacentral:lncRNA from 1 species
UCUUUGGGUUGUCCGAGGUGGAACCAGCAGGCAUAUGCGGGAACCAGGUGCAGAUGGCUGGAAGCAGCGAGUAUGGCACAGGCAUGGGGGCUGCUACUGGUGAACCAGGUGGUCCUGCCAUCAUGGCUGUCCUCCACAAAGGUCUCUUUACUCAUUGAGAGACUCUCUAACCCUAAGGACUUGAAGAAACAUCUCAGGACCCACAAUAAUGUGUUCAUGCUUUACUCAGGAUCUGAGGUGGCAGCUGAAAGUCAUCUCAAGCUACUGUCCACUGUGGCCCAAGCAGUGAAAGGACAAGGCACCAUCUGCUAGGUGGACUGUGGUGAUGCAGAGAGUAGAAAAUUGUGCAAGGAGAAGAAAGUUGACCUCAGUUCAAAGGACAAAAAAGAUUGAAUUAUUCCAUUACCAGGAUGGUGCAUUUCACAUGCAAUAUGACCGAGCUCUGACGCUGAAGUCUAUAGUAGCCUUUCUGAAGGACCCGAAAGGUCCCCCACUGUGGGAAGAAGUUCCUGGAGCCAAAGAUGUUGUACUCAUUGACAGUGUAAAGGACUUCAGACGGGUCCUGAAGAAAGAAGAGAAAACACUCUUCAUGAUGUUCUAUGCUCCCUGGUGCAGCAUGUGCAAGAGGAUCAUGCCACAUUUCCAGAAAACUGCCACCCAA